GUUAAACUGUGUUCCUAUUGAUUUUGUCUCAGUCAUCAUUUCAAUCAUCAAUCCUUUAUAACUCUGUGCUAGAGACAUUAAAAUGCAUGCUACUUCCCUGGGCUAUACUGGCAAUAAGUUUUAUAGGUCCCAUUUUUAUGCUGUAUUUUAUUUAGUUUGAUAUUCUUCUGCAAAUAUGCACAGAUACAGCAGGCAGUCUUGUAUUAGGCAUUGCAACAUGGGAACAAAUUGGAAGGCUACUAGUGUUGAGUUUAAAAGUAAAGCUGCCAGUGAGACCCCCACCGAUCUCCCCAUACUUAGUGCUUUAUGGUGCACGACUUCACGGAAACCAUGUGACUUUCCCACAUAGCAAAACAGAGGGAGAAGAGGAGGAAAAGGGGGAAGGGGAUCAAUGGAGGUACAAGGACGUCUUUGACAGCAAGGGGUAGAAAACGCAAAGAAAGAUUAAAAUGGUGCGGAGAGGAGAGGGGGACAGGAGAGUCACAGGGCAAGACCUAAUUUAGGAUGAAAGAAAGAAGACAAAGGGACCGUGAGAAAGCUGAGAGACAAUCCUGACCGUAAAUCCUGUCUGCAAAACAAAGGCAGGUUUGGCACUGCCAUCAUCCUUGGAGAUUGACUUCCUGCUCGGAACCAAUAAAGGAGGAAGAAAAAAACAGUAAAGGCUCAGCAAGUGCUGGCAGAUGGCAGGUCUUACUUUGCCCGAGGGUUUAUGGUUAUUGGAAAGGCGUCAUCCCCUCUCUGCUUUCCGAGAAGGAGUCAAUAUUUCUCUGUCUCUUCUUUUCACAGUUAAUCCAAUUUUGUGUCAGAAAAAAACAGCUCAGCUGAGAGAUCCAGCAUAUUUCUGCAGCAUGUACAGAGCAAGCAUGUGGGCAAACACACACACACACACACACACACACACACACACACACACACACACACACACACACACACACACACAAGAAAGUGUGUGACUCUGGGUUUCUUUCCUUACAUACAUAACUGAUUAAAAGGAAACUGUCAUCAUCUUCUACCUCUUCUUCUACUUGAAGCUUCUGCACCCUCUGCUGCUGUGGAUGGUACCACACUGAUACCCUAAAGAUUGCAGUCCUCAAAGAUGAUUAUGUCCAAGACUUACCCUUUCUUUAGUGGAUAAUCCCAUGUGGGUACUGUAGAUUUAUACUCAAGAACUGCUUCUGUAAUUGUAAAGACUAUUCCGUGCUCAUUUCAGGACUCUUAUUUAUAAUAUGCUCAUACUGAACAUCUUUUCAACACACUUAUUACUGUUUGACUUUCCACUUCUACAACUGCAUACGGUAAUGAUUUAUAAUCCCACUUUCAGUUACACCCACAAGAAAGUGGGUUAUCUUUGUAAGAAUGUAAUAAAAGUGCUAUGCAAAUAAACUAAAUUGAAUAAUCAUCAUCCAACCCCACUCAAAAUGAAUUUCCAUUAGAAUAGUAAAAAAAAAAAAGAAAAAAAAGAAAGAUUAUCUGCAGUUACUGCAAAAGUAUAAUUUUUUGAAAGGAUGUGACAUUGCAGAGAAAUACACAAAAUCUGUUCAAAUAUUAAUUACAAGGGGAUGAAAGGAUGAAUAUUGAUUCAUCUUCAGUAAUUGCUUCUCAGAGUCAUGGUGGAUCCAGAGCGUAUCACAGGAACAAUGGGUGUGAGGCAGUAAUUCAUCCUUGAUGUGCCUCCAGCCCAUUGCAGGUCACCGUACACAUACACUUCACACACUGCUUCAUAGCUAGGGGCAAUUAAGAGUCCAGAAUGUUUUUUGUUGGAAGUGAGAAGAACACGGAGAACCUGUAGGAAAUGAAUGUGUACAUAACAAGAACAUGUGAAACUCCACACAUACAGCAACACGAGUUCAGGAUUUAAUUUACUUCAUAAAAUUAAUACUGCAACAAAUGAUAUUACCAAAUCAUGAUAAGAUUACUUAGACAUAUUUACUAAAUUCAAGCUUUCUAUUAGCAGUUAAUUUAGCUCCUUUCAAGAAAUAAACACUAUCUCAAAAUAAGCAAAAUGAUCUGCCAGGGG
ensembl:lncRNA